rnacentral:rRNA from 1 species
CCCAGACUCCUACGGGAGGCAGCAGUGAGGAAUAUUGGUCAAUGGCCGCAGGGCUGAACCAGCCAAGUCGCGUGAGGGAAGACGGUCCUACGGAUUGUAAACCUCUUUUGCCGGGGAGCAACGGGGUCCUUGCGAGGGCCCGAUGAGAGUACCCGGAGAAAAAGCAUCGGCUAACUCCGUGCCAGCAGCCGCGGUAAUACGGAGGAUGCGAGCGUUAUCCGGAUUUAUUGGGUUUAAAGGGUGCGUAGGCGGACGCUUAAGUCAGCGGUAAAAAUUCGGGGCUCAACCCCGUCGUGCCGUUGAAACUGAUGUUCUUGAGUGGGCGAGAAGUAUGCGGAAUGCGUGGUGUAGCGGUGAAAUGCAUAGAUAUCACGCAGAACUCCGAUUGCGAAGGCAGCAUACCGGCGCCCAACUGACGCUGAAGCACGAAAGCGUGGGUAUCGAACAGGAUUAGAUACCCUAGUACUU